UACGUAGGGUGCGAGCGUUGUCCGGAAUUAUUGGGCGUAAAGGGCUCGUAGGCGGUUUGUCGCGUCGGGAGUGAAAACCCAGGGCUUAACCCUGGGCUGGCUUCCGAUACGGGCAGACUAGAGGUAUGCAGGGGAGAACGGAAUUCCUGGUGUAGCGGUGAAAUGCGCAGAUAUCGGGAGGAACACCGGUGGCGAAGGCGGCGACCUGGGUCGACACUGACGCUGAGGAGCGAAAGCGUGGGGAGCGAACAGG
rnacentral:rRNA from 1 species